UGCAAGUCGAACGGAGUAGCAAUACUCAGUGGCGAACGGCGGAGUAAUACAUAAGCAACGUGCCCUAAAGACUGGGAUAGCCAGGGGAAACCCUGAGUAAUACCGGAUGUGGCAACGAGAUGGCAUCUCCUCGUUACUAAAUGGUUUUUCGCUUUAGGAGCGGCUUAUGGCCUAUCAGCUAGUUGGGGAGGUAACGGCUCACCAAGGCGACGACGGGUAGGGGGUCUGAGAGGAUGAUCCCCCCGAGUGGGACUGAGACACGGCCCACACACCUACGGGUGGCAGCAGUUGGGAAUCUUGCACAAUGGAGGAAACUCUGAUGCAGCGACGCCGCGUGGAGGACGAAGGGUCUAGGCUCGUAAACUCCUUUUUUCGGGAAAGACUUAGGACGGUACCCGAAGAAUAAGCACCGGCUAACUACGUGCCAGCAGCCGCGGUAAGACGUAGGGUGCAAGCGUUGUCCGGAUUUACUGGGCGUAAAGAGCGCGUAGGCGGCUCGUUAAGUGUGAAGCUAAAUCUCCAGGCUCAACCUGGAAACUAUUUCGCAUACUGGCGGGCUGGAGUGAUGCAGAGGUGGAUAGAAUUCCCGGUGUAGCGGUGAAAUGCGUUGAUAUCGGGAGGAAUACCCGUGGCGAAGGCGGUCCACUGGGCAUCAACUGACGCUGAGGCGCGAAAGCGUGGGUAGCAAACAGGAUUAGAUACCCUGGUAGUCCACGCCCUAAACGAUGGAUGCUAGGCGUAGGAGGAUCGACCCCUCCUGUGCCGCAGCUAACGCAUUAAGCAUC
rnacentral:rRNA from 1 species